rnacentral:rRNA from 1 species
AGUGAACGCUGGCGGCGUGCCUAAUACAUGCAAGUCGAACGCAUUGGCGCACGGAUUGGUAAUCUAUAGUUAAUCUCCCCUACACCGUGCCACAACAGUUGGAAACGACUUCUAAUACCUCAUAGUGUAGGAUUUGACUAUAUCGUAUCAGCUAGUUGGUAAGGUAAUGGCUUACCAAGGCUAUGACGCGUAACUGGUCUGAGAAGAUGCUCAGUAAAAUUGUAACUGAGACACGAGCAAAACUCCUACGGGAAGGGGCAGUAAGGUGUACUGGGCAAUGGGGGUGACCCUGACGCGGCAACGCCGCGUGGAGGAUGACUCUUUUCGGAGCGUAAAGACCUUUUUUACGGAAAGCGGUACCUAAUGAGUAAGCACCGGCUAACUCCGUGCCAGCCGCCGCGGUAAUAC